UGGACAAAAACAAAGCAAAAUUACACCAUAAAAUAGGGAAAAUCAAUGUGGGGCUUAGAGGAAUGACUCAAUAUUGAUAAGGGUUGGUUGCAUUUACCAACAACCUAUUUCUAUUCUCAGAAUCAUCCAGUGCCUAAGAGCACUUACAUCUCUGGGACCUGAACCUCUCUUCUGGACACUAUAGGUGCAACAUAGGUGGUAAAAACAGACACCCAUGGGAGCUCUGAAGAAUUAGCUACCGUAUGCAGAAAAACCGUGGACUAAACCCUUCUGAAAAUGUGCUGUCAACAGAAACAAAAUCCUGCGCUUCCUUCACUACAUGAUUUUUAUAAAG
rnacentral:sRNA from 1 species